GAAAGACAGUGAGAGGGAAAGUAAGAAAUCACCCCUCGCCCCAGCUCCUUUUGCCCUUCUGCCACAUGAAGAUGCAGUGAGAAGUAUCAUCAUCAGACACCAAAUCUAUUGGUACCUUGGACUUCCUAGCCUCCAGAACUUGGCCAUCACCAUUCAAGACAGUGAUUACUUCAUCAUCCUGGGACCUUAGAGCUGAGAGACCUUAUUAACCC